GAUGGACGCUAGCGGCAGGCCUAACACAUGCAAGUCGAGGGGUAGAAGGAGCUUGCUCCUUUGAGACCGGCGCACGGGUGCGUAACGCGUAUGCAAUCUACCUUGUACAGGGGAAUAGCCCAGAGAAAUUUGGAUUAAUGCCCCAUAGUAUAUAACCUUCGCAUGUUGGUUAUAUUAAAGUUCCAACGGUACAAGAUGAGCAUGCGUCCCAUUAGUUAGUUGGUAAGGUAACGGCUUACCAAGACGAUGAUGGGUAGGGGUCCUGAGAGGGAGAUCCCCCACACUGGUACUGAGACACGGACCAGACUCCUACGGGAGGCAGCAGUGAGGAAUAUUGGUCAAUGGUCGCAAGACUGAACCAGCCAUGCCGCGUGCAGGAAGACGGUCCUAUGGAUUGUAAACUGCUUUUAUACAGGAAGAAACCCUCCCACGUGUGGGAGCUUGACGGUACUGUAGGAAUAAGAAUCGGCUAACUCCGUG
rnacentral:rRNA from 1 species